GACGAACGCUGGCGGCGUGCUUAACACAUGCAAGUCGAACGGUAAGGCUCCAGCUUGCUGGGGUACACGAGUGGCGAACGGGUGAGUAACACGUGGGUGACCUGCCCUGCACUUCGGGAUAAGCCUGGGAAACUGGGUCUAAUACCGGAUAGGACCAUGGUGUGGAUACUGUGUGGAAAGUUUUUUCGGUGUGGGAUGGGCCCGCGGCCUAUCAGCUUGUUGGUGGGGUAAUGGCCUACCAAGGCGGCGACGGGUAGCCGGCCUGAGAGGGUGGACGGCCACAUUGGGACUGAGACACGGCCCAGACUCCUACGGGAGGCAGCAGUGGGGAAUAUUGCACAAUGGGCGGAAGCCUGAUGCAGCGACGCCGCGUGGGGGAUGACGGCCUUCGGGUUGUAAACUCCUUUCACCAUCGACGAAGGGUUUCUGACGGUAGAUGGAGAAGAAGCACCGGCUAACUACGUG
rnacentral:rRNA from 1 species